AGCGCUGAUCUCCAGCACACCGGCCAGGGGCGUGACUGAGCUCCUUUGACUGGGGUGGACCAGCCAAUUACUCACUAAGGAGCCACUUUACAUACAAUGGACAGUGUCAUACAUGGUAUACAAAGAAGAAGUGGGAAAGGAUGGGCAAUUUUAACAUUUCUGAGAAUGGAGGGAGAAGAAUAUGUCAAACACAGUAGAGCUUAACUGGCUGUGCCACAUGGUAAGAAUUUAAUUAUCAUUUUAUUACAGCCCUGCAAAAACACACCAGGGAGAUCACUACAGCUCCAGGAGUCUAUUUGGGUUACAUCACACCAACCGCUACCAUGUUUCCUGGAGUUGUCCAGUAAUUGUUCCUCAUGAGAAGGAAAUACAUCUUAAUGUAAUGGAUGGAGUGAACAUCCCGUUUGUAUGCAGCACAGUAGAUAUGGUUGAUAUUUGAAUUGAUAGGUGGAAUGUAAAUGAUGAGAAACUGGUGCAUGUUCCUCUGAUUGCAAGCAAAAACACUGUCAGGAAAAGGCUGAAAUCUGACCCACCCACAAGUGAUGAUGGAUAAGAGUAAUUUACAAAAUGUAUGUUUGGAAAGACUGUCCAAAAAGAAAGAUUUUACCCGAUUAGGACCAAGUAGAUCGAUUAUGUUAAACCGAUAAGGCCAGACUUGUUUUAACUUAUCAGAGUAACUAAGUGAUAAUGCAGUCUCGGCUUGAAUCCAAAAGUUUUCUCUUUCUUUACUUUAAGUGAUGUUUUCUUUUCACCUCUUAGAUGGAGGCUUCCAAUGUUCAUAAUUCAAGCUGAGGUUAUUUAAAAAAGAAAAAUUUAACAGUUGAAUUAAGUUAAAUUCUAUUAAGCUAAGUUUAAUUGAAUGUAAUUAAGUUAAGGAGUUACAUUGAAAUAAACUGAGUAGAGUGGAAUGAAAUUAAUUUGAAUUCAACUGAAUUUAAUUGAGUGAAAUUUAUCUAAAUUGAUUUAAACCGGGGUAAACUGAGUUGAGUUGAACUGGACAGCACUGAACUCUUUGCUCACUGGCUGCUGCCUCCCACACCUUUUACAUAGACACACUACCACACAUACAUCAGCUGUACUCAUUUGUGCGUUUUUGCAUAUCCAAAUAGAGUUUUGCGUGUUAGUUAGCCCCCUUUAAACAGAAAAUGUUACUAUAAUUUUAAAGUGGUUUUAAUAUAUUUACAUUAUCAUUUUUAUUUCUACCAGGAUCUGAGAUCUUAAUUUUAAAAGUCAAUUUACCUUGACUUCCUUAAUACAUCAUUGUCACAACAUACUUUCAGCGGUUUGCUUUUUUUAAUUAUGAAAAACAGAAUAAGAUGCAACCUGUAUAUCCAUCCUGUUUUAUAUAUUUGAUUGAUCAUAGCUGCAACACAUACAACUUUGUAUCUUAGUGUCUGAAUUUCACCCUAGCCUCUACAUGUAUCUCACUUUUCACUAGUACAAGUGUGUUAUACAUGUGCUCAUUACUCUGCAAACAACUGCUGUUGUACCUUUGAUUGGGUGUUUAACUCUAUUAUGUUGUUUCAGUACUUGUAUCUUUUACAAUGAGAAAAAAGUUUAAUCUAAUGAAAACAAUGUAAAGACCUCUGUAAGCUCAUUCAGGUGUUCAACACGGCAUUGGUGUACUCAGUGGUAGCUAUAGCCUUUGGUGGACAAAUAUUUAACUACUGCUGGGUAAACCCUGACAUACAUACCUACAGAGAUUUACCAGUAUAGGGCUUAUGGGCACCCUUUCAAAGUCCAUGCAGCGCAUAGAAAUGCAUUUCAAAAGCAACCAUUGCAUUAAUGUUAAGGUGUUUAUAAUAUACUAAAUGGCAGACAAAUGGCUGUGCAGCUAAUGAUUUAUGUUUCUGUUCUUUUAUGUCUUUUCUUGGUGUGUGACUGCUGCCGCAUCGGGACCAAACAAGGAAACAUUUCCUGUUUUGUUCAACAGGAACUUCAGAGAACAAGGAGUGAUAGCAUUAUAAUGGAUAUGAGCUCGAACACCAGGGUUUAUCCACUGCCGCUGUUCCUGAAUCACUGACUGGGAGGGUACAGUUCAGGAAAAAGGCUUAAAUGCUGAUAGCUGAAACCCUAACCCUCCCACAGCAGCUAGUGCCAGCAGUUUUCUCAAGACACUCCAUCAAAUGAUUUUGUGCAAUCUGAUUUACAAUCUGAAAUUGUAUCAGUCUUUCAUUGCUUUGGAGGCCUUUUUCACAAAGAUGAAAUUAUUACCCAACUGUCAUGUGUCAAACUGAG